rnacentral:rRNA from 1 species
CGCCAGAGAACUACCAGCGAAAAACUAGAAACUCCAAGGACUUGGCGGUGCUCCACAUCAACCUAGAGGAGCCUGUCCUAUAAUCGAUACUCCACGCUUAACCUUACCCUCCUUAGCCACUCAGCCUAUAUACCGCCGUCGUCAGCCUACCUUGUGAAAGAAACAUAGUAGACAAAACAGUUAACAACUAACACGUCAGGUCAAGGUGUAGCACAUAGGACGGAAGAGAUGGGCUACAUUUUCUAUAAUAGAAAACACGAACGGCGUAAUGAAACUUAUGCCCAAAGGCGGAUUUAGCAGUAAGAUGGGCAAGAAAGACCACCUUAAACUCGCUCUGGAGCGCGCACACACCGCC